GGAACAUAGACUUCUUUCAGUGUGAAGUCAUAAAUACUGCUGAGAGGAGGUGGAUUUUGCAGGACUCCUGGUGUACAACAGUUCAGCAGGUGAAGAGCCAACUUCUGUUAAUAAGAGAUUUUGGCUGAGCUUCAGGCAUCGAAAGUUAAAAAUCUGCAGAAGGGCAUGGAUUAAAUACAGAAGUGUGGAGAAUGGAGGAAAGGCUGAAUGCGAAGAGGCUGCUUCUUCUGUCCCUAACCUCAAAAAGGCGAGAGGUGUCUUACAAAAGCAGUGUUUUGUCCUCUUCUGUAUUUCGUGCCUCCCAUGUCCAUGCCAGGAUACCUGCUUUUAUAUGGUGGACAAUGGGAGUGCAGCUGGCACUGAGCUGAAGCCUGAGCUGUUCUGCACCUCAUGUGGAUUCGAGUUCAAAUAAACAGUUUGACUCGCUCAAGGAGUGAAU